GUCACAACCACACAUCAGCCGCCACCACCCAUUGCGCGCGGCCUGCGGCCAUCAUCACCACGGCGGGGGCGGCGGGCUCCCGCUCCAGCUCCUCGCGCUUUUCUUCCUGCUCGCCGGCGCCUCGCACGGUGUUGAGCUCGGGGUCCAGACAGGCACUGCCACCUGGUCGGGGCCACCGAACGGCGCCAAGUACCCAUACUUCACCGAAUGCUACUUCGGGGAAGCGGUGCGCACCGCGCCCUUCAACUCCUUCGUUACCGAGUUCGGAGUUUACGAUGACUGCGGGGUCUGUUACAAGGUAAUCUGCAAGGGGCACCCUGCCUGCUCACCGACUCGUGCCGUGAACCUACGACUCUGUGCGCUGGCGCAAGGGGUCUCUGGGUUCUCCGACAAAGUACACGCACUUCAACAUGGCGGGCCACGCCUUCGGGGCGAUGGCGCUGCCCGGCCGCGCGGAUGAACUCCGUGCCGCGAUUGCCGCCGGGCCGGUAACGGUGAGCUUCG